UACGAAGGGGGCUAGCGUUGCUCGGAAUCACUGGGCGUAAAGGGUGCGUAGGCGGGUCUUAAGUCAGGGGUGAAAUCCUGGAGCUCAACUCCAGAACUGCCUUUGAUACUGAGGAUCUUGAGUUCGGGAGAGGUGAGUGGAACUGCGAGUGUAGAGGUGAAAUUCGUAGAUAUUCGCAAGAACACCAGUGGCGAAGGCGGACUCACUGGCCCGAUACUGACGCUGAGGCACGAAAGCGUG
rnacentral:rRNA from 1 species